UAUGGCCUGCGCCGGGUGAUGCAGCAGGGCAGUCCAUCACCCACAGGGUCGUUGUCGCUCCCCAGCCUACCCGCUCUAGACACGCUCCUGGCGCGCGGCACCAGCACGGCAGCCGGGCUAAAUCCGGGUGUGCUCAAGGUGGGCAUGCGUGUAUAUCUCGAAAGAACGGUAGGACGACAUAAGCAAGGGUUAAAAGCGACUGAGCAAUUCAUGGAAGAUGCUACCAUUCUACAUGGGUACUCGUGCGUAUGUAUGUCUACCUUGGGGACGCUUUCAUAAUUUCCUUCAUUCCUUUAGCUGGGUAAACAGAUCGGGCUUAGUCGCUUUGGUGGCGAACUUCUUGCCAUCGGAAUGAAUACCUCGCUUGCUUCAUCAUUUGGGGCGCGACUGCACGGAGGGCUAAACACGGGGAGGGGGCGGGGGAAGGGCUUACACGGCGGCAAGUGUAAGCCCGCCCGUCCCAGCGGUUAUGUUACCCCAGCAGCUGCUUGACAAAAUCAAGGAAUCAAGCAAUAAUGUUGGUGGGAGGUUUCCGCCUGCCGUGUAGUACUGUAGCUUUUGCAUAUCGCGUGUGGGCGGGGAUGCCUGUCUUGCGAGCUUUAUACGUAGUACUUGUAUGUAUGUCCCCAAACUCCCAAUUUCUUGUGCUCUUCGUCCUCCCCUCUUUUAGUGAUUGCAUGUCUCUUGUUGCGGUGCUUUCAGGAUUUCAAUAUGACCACUGCGAUCGGCUCUGGCUGCGAUCGGCAAGUUUGGGGAGGCAUCGCUGCGGCAUGGCGGAUGGAGCCGGCGACCAGUGGGGAUUACCUUUUCAAAAUCCAG
rnacentral:lncRNA from 1 species